rnacentral:tRNA from 1 species
ACUGGUAUAGCAUAAUGGUUAGUGCAGGAGUCUUAUACACUCAAGAUGAAGGUUCAAGUCCUUAUACCAGUA